UACGAAGGGGGCUAGCGUUGUUCGGAAUCACUGGGCGUAAAGGGCGCGUAGGCGGCUUUAUAAGUCGGGGGGUGAAAGCCUGUGGCUCAACCACAGAAUUGCCUUCGAUACUGUAGAGCUUGAGACCGGAAGAGGUAAGUGGAACUGCGAGUGUAGAGGUGAAAUUCGUAGAUAUUCGCAAGAACACCAGUGGCGAAGGCGGCUUACUGGUCCGGUUCUGACGCUGAGGCGGCGAAAAGCGUGGGGGAGCAAACAGG
rnacentral:rRNA from 1 species